rnacentral:rRNA from 1 species
AUUGAACGCUGGCGGCAUGCCUUACACAUGCAAGUCGAACGGUAACAGGUCUUCGGAUGCUGACGAGUGGCGAACGGGUGAGUAAUACAUCGGAACGUGCCUAGUAGUGGGGGAUAACUACUCGAAAGAGCGGCUAAUACCGCAUGAGAUCUACGGAUGAAAGCAGGGGAUCGCAAGACCUUGUGCUACUAGAGCGGCCGAUGGCAGAUUAGGUAGUUGGUGGGAUAAAAGCUUACCAAGCCGACGAUCUGUAGCUGGUCUGAGAGGACGAUCAGCCACACUAGGAGUGAGACACGGACCAGACUCCGACGGGAGGCAGCAGUGGGGAAUUUUGGACAAUGGGCGCAAGCCUGAUCCAGCAAUGCCGCGUGCAGGAUGAAGGCCUUCGGGUUGUAAACUGCUUUUGUACGGAACGAAAAGCCCCGGGUUAAUACCCUGGGGUCAUGACGGUACCGUAAGAAUAAGCACCGGCUAACUACGUGCCAGCCGCCGCAGUAA